GCCGGCGUAGCUCAAUUGGCAGAGCAACUGACUUGUAAUCAGUAGGUUGCGGGUUCAAGUCCCAUCGCCGGCUCCA
rnacentral:tRNA from 1 species